CUCAUCUUUACCAUCGUGGUGGACGUCCUGGGCAACCUGCUGGUCAUCCUGUCCGUGUACAGGAAUAAGAAGCUGCGGAACGCUGAUUUCCCUGGAUGACUUUUGCAUACCCAGGGAGAAAAUGGGUAGCCCAAGAAAUGUUUGGAUCAUCGGAGAGAGAGAAUAGCUGUAGAAGACCAAAUAAUAACACGCGAAAUAAGGGUCUGAAGAAAAUUGACUGACAUAUUGAUGGCAAUGAACAUUGGUAUUUCAGACUUGAGUUACUUCAGGUAGCAAAAAUGGUAAGCCAAUUGGGGGUGGAGGGGGAAAUGUCUAGCUGAGUUGUUGAACUUGUCCACCUGAUGGACAAAAUUACAAAGCAAGAUGUACAGUUUUGAACAAAACAAUUCCUUUAGAGUAGUAAAUGGUGAUUUUGGUUAAUAAUUUGUUCAAGCUUAGGGUUCAUUUCAGAAACUUGUUGAAGUGGACCUUGUCUUUUCAGUAACCAAAAAUUAGGGGUAAGCAUUUAAAAAAAAAUUUUUUUUUUUUUUUUAGUUUGUCAAAUGAUAGUCUUUCCUUACUCUUCCUGACAGUUUUUAAUUUUCUGAACUUGCUUACCUUUUUGGCGGCAAUGCUUCUUGUCUCUUGCUGUCAUGAAACACUGUUUCUGAUUGGAAACACUUUUCUUUGCCUCUUCUAGAUUUUGGUUCACCCCUUUUCUGUUUUCUCUUCAGUUUUUUUUUCUCUUCUUAGUCUGUUGUCUCUAGUCUCUUUUCACUUCCUCUCUUCCUCCCCUGUCACCCAGUACUCUGCUACUGUUUCUUUUACUCUUAUCUCUUUGCUGUUUUUUCUUCUCCACCACCACUAUAUACGUUUCUAGAUACUAACAACAAUUUUAGUUUCUAAUGAUAGAAAUGCUACCAGCAAUAGAUAACUGAUACCAGUAGCAUGACUAACAAACCUCUCUUGGACAUUGUGGCUUGCUUUCAUAGGGGAAUAAAAAUUCUGCAAUGUCAAACCAGGUUUGCGCAUCCAGAGUGCAAUUUUGCAGUCUGAAAAAACACCUUGCACCCUUUCUGUUGGCAAUCUUUUUUUUCUUAUGCACUUGCUUCAAAACUGCCUGAAAUAUCACAUUAAUGUUCCCCUUUUGAGUAAUGUGUACCAACAUCUUCUCCAGGAGGACGUGAUUAGAAAAGGAGUUCUUUUUUGGAAUGAGACAAAUAUGUGGUGUGGUUGUUUGUUUGUUUGUUUUUUUAAUUAUUUUAUGGGUCUUUUGUAAACAAAUAAACAUGUAUUUUAAUAUGUAUGUAAAUUAAUGCUUGAGCCUUUAUUAUAUAAAUACUACCAAGAGAGAAAUACCCUUCCAGCAGGGUAGCCCUUCCAAAGUCCACCAGCAUUGGGGGCAAUGAUUGAGCUGAAUAGGGUUGUAAAGGUGUAUCUUUCAUGCUGAAAUGAGUCUCACCAUUCUUUCGACCCAUGUCAUUUUAAGGAUGGAAAAUACAAUGAAACAAAUGAAAUAAGAAUCCUAUGGUAUGCCAGAGAACAGAUUUGUCAACCCUGUGGGUAUGCUGAAAACCCCAUCUUCCUCUCCUAUGUUAAGCUUUUGAGGAGGGUGUGGGUUGGAAAAAAAUAUAUUUGGGGCAAUCUUUGGUUUAUGUUGUGAUUUGUAACUUAUGGAAAGGGUUACUUAGAGCACUGGAUGGACACCUUUCGUUGUUCAGUAAUAUGUUCAGUAAUAAAUAAUACAAAAGGUCUAAGUUCAGUAUUUUUUUAAAAAGUGCAAAGUCAUGUCAAUUUCCAUUUAAAGGCAGUUUUGCACCAGAAAUGUCUUCAACCAACUCACCCCAAUAGCUAGAGGACCGAAACAACAACAAAAAAAUCAUACCUGAAUAUCACUGCUUCUGAUUCCACACUCUUUCAGGCAGGGUUAGCACCUGCUCAGGUACUCUGUUCUUGAUUCUUCUGUGCCUAUUGCCUUGUCUGGCAUACCUUGUAAAGCCACAGUUACAGAAAUAUGGAGAUAUGCAUUACUUUGUUUGCAUACUGCUAUCUUCUUUUCCCUCCAGCCCCAAAGAUUUCCCAUCAUCCUCCCUUUCUCUGUCUCCCUCCGCUUCCCCUCUUCAAGUUUCUUCUUCCCCAACACCCAUGGCUUGUUUUUCCCCAUUGAGACUCUCCUGUUUCCCUCCAUAACAUACUGAAUAUAUAGACUCUUUCUAAGGCAUGGUCCCUAACCUACACAUGAUUACAGAGAGGUGACGUUAGUAAUUACUUCACACUAUGCAGUGCUACAGCUAUGUGAUUAGAUUAGGGACUGUCAAGGCUGUAUCCCCACCUUGAACUUUAGGGUACAAAUGUAGGGGCCUGCAUGAAAACUUCUAAGCUUAACUACCAGCUUAGCUCUGGUCCCGCUGCCACCAUUCCCAAUGGAUUCCCUCCCUGGGAAGCCUUGAGAAACCUUUCACCAAUUCCCUGGUGAAUAAAGUUCCAACCCCCCUGGGAUCUAA